GUUGGGCGUAGUGGUGCAUGCCUGUAAUCUCAGCUAUUUGGGAGGCUGAGGUAGGAGUAUCACAAGUUUGAGGCCAGCCUCCGCAAUUUAGCAAGACCCUGUCUCAA
rnacentral:sRNA from 1 species